rnacentral:rRNA from 1 species
UGGGGAAUUUUGCACAAUGGGGGAAACCCUGAUGCAGCGACGCCGCGGGAUUUAGAAGGCUUUCGGGUGGAAAAAAUCUUUGGUAUGGGAAGAUAAUGACGGUACCUCAAGAAAAACCCCCGGCUAACUACGUGCCAGCAGCCGCGGUAAUACGUAGGGGGCUAGCGUUGUCCGGAAUCACUGGGCGUAAAGGGUUCGCAGGCGGAAUAACAAGUCAGAUGUGAAAGGCAUGGGCUCAACCCAUGUAAGCAUUUGAAACUGUAAUUCUUGAGAAGUGGAGAGGUAAGUGGAAUUCCUAGUGUAGCGGUGAAAUGCGUAGAUAUUAGGAGGAAUACCUGUGGCGAAGGCGACUUACUGGACACAAAUCUGACGCUGAGGAACGAAAGCGUGGGUAGCAAACAGG